CCGCCUGGGGAGUACGGUCGCAAGAUUAAAACUCAAAGGAAUAGACGGGGACCCGCACAAGUGGUGGAGCAUGUGGUUUAAUUCGAAGAUACGCGAAGAACCUUACCUGGGCUUGACAUCCCGAGAAUCGGCCAGAGAUGGCUGAGUGCCAGUUUACUGGAGCCCGGUGACAGGUGCUGCACGGCUGUCGUCAGCUCGUGUCGUGAGAUGUUGGGUUAAGUCCCGCAACGAGCGCAACCCUCGUCCUUAGUUGCUAACGGUUAGGCCGAGCACUCUAAGGAGACUGCCUUCGUAAGGAGGAGGAAGGUGAGGACGACGUCAAGUCAUCAUGGCCCUUAUGUCCAGGGCGACACACGUGCUACAAUGGGGAGGACAAUGAGAGGCGAUACCGCGAGGUGGAGCAAAUCUAUAAACCUUCUCUCAGUUCGGAUUGCACUCUGCAACUCGAGUGCAUGAAGCUGGAAUCACUAGUAAUCGUAGAUCAGCCAUGCUACGGUGAAUACGUUCCCGGGUCUUGUACUCACCGCCCGUCACACCAUGGGAGUUGAGUUCACCCGAAGCCGGAAUGCCAGACUGGCUACCGUCCACGGUGGGCUCAGCGACUGGGGUGAAGUCGUAACAAGGUA
rnacentral:rRNA from 1 species